GAUUUAUACUAUAACAUAGCACAAUUAGCACCAUAUUUUUUCUUAUUCUAAUUUUUUUUCCUUGUGCAGCACAUUCAAUUUAUCCAUGAAUCCUAACAGCAACACAUUGAAAUCUAUCAUUCGCCCAAUUGUUUUUGCUCCUGUUUAUGGGGUUGCUGCUGCGGUUGCUGGUUACGUUUGGGUCGGAACAGCACUAUUGUGGAGAGGUCGAUGUUUUGCUCGUCACCCAGGGGAACAACGGAGCUAGCCGAUCUUCUGUACUGAACUUCUAUCGAGGUCACGCUUAGGAACUAAAUCUAGAAUGACUUUUUGUCCUGUCAAAAUGAUAAAGUUGUGGAGAGGAUGCGGUAAGUGACUAAUCAGUGUUUUUGUAUCACUCUAU